CAGCCGCCGCGGUAAUACCGGCGGCCCGAGUGGCGGCCACUAUUAUUGGGCUUAAAGCGUCCGUAGCCGGGUUGGGAAGUCCUCCGGGAAAUCUGGCCGCUUAACGGUCAGAAUUCCGGGAGAUACUGCCAGCCUAGGGACCGGGAGAGGCCGAGGGUAUUCCCGGAGUAGGGGGGAAAUCCUAUAAUCCCGGGAGGACCACCUGUGGCGAAGGCGCUCGGCUGGAACGGGUCCGACGGUGAGGGACGAAGGCCAGGGGAGCAAACCGGAUUAGAUACCCGGGUAGUCCUGGCUGUAAACGAUGCGGACUUUGUGUCGGACAAGCUAUGAGCUUGUCCGGUGCCGGAGGGAAACCGUUAAGUCCGCCGCCUGGGGAGUACGGCCGCAAGGUUGAAACUUAAAGGAAUUGGCGGG
rnacentral:rRNA from 1 species